GGACACUUGUGAGUUGCCCUAUGCAGACUGUGCUCCCACUGGAGGCCCGCGGGCUCCGAGGGUGGCCACCUUUGCUGAACAUGCUGUUAGCCCCCUCCUGCGUUUGGGUCAGCGAUCUUGUGAAGCUCUGCUUGGGCUGCCUCUGAGGGGCAGGAGAGCCAGAUGGCAGGAGGAUCCUCCCCCUAGACCAAUCAACAUGUCCUCAGCAUUCUGCCCCCUUCAGCCACAGCUUGUUCCCAGUGCCCUUCCUCCGUGAAUCAUGAGCAAUCCCAAGACAGGCAGGAUGGGAGCUGAAGACCACCAAGAGCUAACCCUUCUGGCAGAGAGAUGCUCUUCCGCUCUCAGACGGCAGUGCCCAGGAUGCACAGGCAGAACCCUGGUGCAGUCUUUGAGGAAGACGUCCUUCAGAGAACUGGCGUGUUGGAAUUGUUGGCACGUUCAGAAUCCUUGUGUCGCAAACAUAUGGACAUAAAUGUCACUGCUCUAGAGGCGGUGGGAUCUGGGAGAAUGGAGCCUAACAAUGAGGCAGACUAAAGUCUUAUGCAACAGACAACUUCAUUUAGAGCAUCAGACAGUUUGUAUUCUGAUGGUUAAACAAGAUCACAUGAGUGAUGUUCACAUGAGUUCCAACUGUAUACAAUUACAAGAACAAGACUUGCUUGGUUGAAUUUUCUGGUUGACAGAGAUAAGUGACAAUGGGCAAUCUGAAGCAAACCUCACUCCUAUUCGCUACGCCUGGGAAGGACAUGAAAGCACACUCCAAGGAUAACCCGUGUUGUGAAGUAACUGAAGUCACAAGACUCUCAUCUUGUUUUCUUGGGGUUUUCUCACAAGCUCUCAGAGUUCUCACACGGCUUCGUUCAUGGACCAUGUUCCUACACAUGAAGACAACUUCAUGGCCUCCUGGUUCCAUCUUUCUUGGGUUUGAAAUAAAGUGACUCUGUUGGUACUGAC